rnacentral:rRNA from 1 species
UCGAUUGAACGCUGGCGGCAGGCCUAACACAUGCAAGUCGAACGGUAACAGGAAACAGCUUGCUGCUUCGCUGACGAGUGGCGGACGGGUGAGUAAUGUCUGGGAAACUGCCUGAUGGAGGGGGAUAACUACUGGAAACGGUAGCUAAUACCGCAUAACGUCGCAAGACCAAAGAGGGGGACCUUCGGGCCUCUUGCCAUCGGAUGUGCCCAGAUGGGAUUAGCUUGUUGGUGGGGUAACGGCUCACCAAGGCGACGAUCCCUAGCUGGUCUGAGAGGAUGACCAGCCACACUGGAACUGAGACACGGUCCAGACUCCUACGGGAGGCAGCAGUGGGGAAUAUUGCACAAUGGGCGCAAGCCUGAUGCAGCCAUGCCGCGUGUAUGAAGAAGGCCUUCGGGUUGUAAAGUACUUUCAGCGGGGAGGAAGGGAGUAAAGUUAAUACCUUUGCUCAUUGACGUUACCCGCAGAAGAAGCACCGGCUAACUCCGUGCCAGCAGCCGCGGUAAUACGGAGGGUGCAAGCGUUAAUCGGAAUUACUGGGCGUAAAGCGCACGCAGGCGGUUUGUUAAGUCAGAUGUGAAAUCCCCGGGCUCAACCUGGGAACUGCAUCUGAUACUGGCAAGCUUGAGUCUCGUAGAGGGGGGUAGAAUUCCAGGUGUAGCGGUGAAAUGCGUAGAGAUCUGGAGGAAUACCGGUGGCGAAGGCGGCCCCCUGGACGAAGACUGACGCUCAGGUGCGAAAGCGUGGGGAGCAAACAGGAUUAGAUACCCUGGUAGUCCACGCCGUAAACGAUGUCGACUUGGAGGUUGUGCCCUUGAGGCGUGGCUUCCGGAGCUAACGCGCUAAGUCGACCGCCUGGGGAGUACGGCCGCAAGGUUAAAACUCAAAUGAAUUGACGGGGGCCCGCACAAGCGGUGGAGCAUGUGGUUUAAUUCGAUGCAACGCGAAGAACCUUACCUGGUCUUGACAUCCACGGAAGUUUUCAGAGAUGAGAAUGUGCCUUCGGGAACCGUGAGACAGGUGCUGCAUGGCUGUCGUCAGCUCGUGUUGUGAAAUGUUGGGUUAAGUCCCGCAACGAGCGCACCCCUUAUCCUUUGUUGCCAGCGGUCCGGCCGGGAACUCAAAGGAGACUGCCAGUGAUAAACUGGAGGAAGGUGGGGAUGACGUCAAGUCAUCAUGGCCCUUACGACCAGGGCUACACACGUGCUACAAUGGCGCAUACAAAGAGAAGCGACCUCGCGAGAGCAAGCGGACCUCAUAAAGUGCGUCGUAGUCCGGAUUGGAGUCUGCAACUUGACUCCAUGAAGUCGGAAUCGCUAGUAAUCGUGGAUCAGAAUGCCACGGUGAAUACGUUCCCGGGCCUUGUACACACCGCCCGUCACACCAUGGGAGUGGGUUGCAAAAGAAGUAGGUAGCUUAACCUUCGGGAGGGCGCUUACCACUUUGUGAU